GGAAUCUUCCACAAUGGACGAAAGUCUGAUGGAGCAACGCCGCGUGAGUGAUGAAGGUUUUCGGAUCGUAAAACUCUGUUGUAAGGGAAGAACACGUACGAGAGGUAAUGCUCGUACCUUGACGGUACCUUACGAGAAAGCCACGGCUAACUACGUGCCAGCAGCCGCGGUAAUACGUAGGUGGCAAGCGUUGUCCGGAAUUAUUGGGCGUAAAGCGCGCGCAGGCGGCCUUUUAAGUCUGAUGUGAAAGCCCCCGGCUCAACCGGGGAGGGUCAUUGGAAACUGGAAGGCUUGAGUACAGAAGAGAAGAGUGGAAUUCCAUGUGUAGCGGUGAAAUGCGUAGAGAUGUGGAGGAACACCAGUGGCGAAGGCGACUCUUUGGUCUGUAACUGACGCUGAGGCGCGAAAGCGUGGGGAGCAAACAGGAUUAGAUACCCUGG
rnacentral:rRNA from 1 species